rnacentral:misc_RNA from 1 species
GAUGAAGAACGUAGCGAAAUGCGAUAAGUAAUGUGAAUUGCAGAAUUCAGUGAAUCAUCGAAUCUUUGAACGCACAUUGCGCCCCCUGGUAUUCCGGGGGGCAUGCCUGUCCGAGCGUCAUUGCUGCCCUCAAGCACGGCUUGUGUGUUGGGCCCCCGCCCCCCGGCUCCCGGGGGGCGGGCCCGAAAGGCAGCGGCGGCACCGCGUCCGGUCCUCGAGCGUAUGGGGCUUUGUCACUCGCUCGUGUAGGUCCGGCCGGCGCCAGCCGACACCCAUCAAUCUUACCCAGGUUGACCUCGGAUCAGGUAGGGAUACCCGCUGAACUUAAGCAUAUCAAUAAGCGGAGGA